rnacentral:rRNA from 1 species
AUGGAGCCUGCCGCAAUCACAUCAGCAGCGCCGCCGGCCUUGGCGGCCACGCGGCUCCUCGUCAUCCCGCCUCCCCGCGGCGGCUUCGCGUCCAUCUCCCUCCCCACCUCCAUCGGUGGAGGCGGGGGCAGGGGCGGAGGUCGCUCCGCUGGAGGAGGCGGCGGCGGCGGCGGAGGAGGAGGAGACUCUGGUGCCGGCGCUGCAGCGGCGAUGGCGCUCGUCGAGGCCGGGACGAUUGACGGCGACGUCAUCGUGCUCCACGUCGGGGGUAUGUCGUGCGGCGGAUGCGCCGCCAAAGUGAAGCGGAUUCUCGAGAGCCAGCCUGAGGUUGCUUCUGCCACGAUCGACUUGGCCAAGGCGACCGCGGUGGUGCGGACGACACCAGAAGCCAUGAUGACCAAGGACUGGCACAAGGAACUUGGGGAGAAGCUUGCAAAUGACCUAAGAAAUUGUGGAUUUCAGUCUCAUAUGCUUGAUGAAACCGAACAAAGCUGA